rnacentral:rRNA from 1 species
UGAGGAAUCUUGCGCAAUGGGGGAACCCUUGACGCAGCAACGCCCCGUGGGUGAGGAAGGUCUUCGGUUCGUAAAGCCCUUUCAGUUGGAAAGAAUUGUUUGAGAGUAAAUACUUUUCAGGCUUACCGGUACCACCAGAGGAAGCACCGGCUAACUCCGUGCCAGCAGCGGCGGUAAUACGGGGGGUGCAGGCGUUGUUCGGAUUUAUGGGGCGUAAAGAGCGUGUGGGCGGCGGGAUAUGUCAGAUGUGAAAGCCCCGGGCUUAACCCGGGAAGUGCAUUUGAAACUGUCCGGCUCGAGUAGGGGAGAGGGAAGUGGAAUUCCUGGUGUAGAGGUGAAAUUCGUAGAUAUCAGGAGGAACACCGGUGGCGAAGGCGACUUCCUGGCCCUAUACUGACGCUGAGACGCGAGAGCGUGGGUAGCAAACAG